GAUUGUGGUGGUGGAGCUAAUGACAUGUGUGCAGAAACUCUUCUGAAUGGGACUUCCCUGAUCCUGUUUUUACCUGAUCUUCAUGCUCAAUAGAAAAAGCCUCAGCUUUGGAAUCAGGGCCGUCCAGGUAGCAUGGCAUGGUACUGGAACACUAUGUCUUCUCUCUGACCUCUCGGAAUAUCUCUGUGAUUCAAUGUGUUGGCCCAUUGGAGGCCCUGGCCAGGAAUAUUUAAGGAUUCCCAUUGUUUCACACUCUUGACAGCACUUGGUAUUGUCAGACUUCAACACAA
rnacentral:lncRNA from 1 species